rnacentral:lncRNA from 1 species
GAAUGAUUACAUAGGCAAUAAAAUACCGCGAAAAAUAAUUUUGAAGCGGGAAAACAUUACGCCCUCUAUGCUACAUAUGAUGAAAACACCCAGGAGAAAUUAAUUUCACUCUAAUGCACUGCCCGUUUAAACGAAUGAAAUUAUAAUUCUCCUGGUAUAAACCACCCAUCAAUGUAGACAUAAAACCAAUACUUGCACCAAAUAACCAAG